AGUGAACGCUGGCGGUAGGCCUAACACAUGCAAGUCGAACGGCAGCACAGUAAGAGCUUGCUCUUACGGGUGGCGAGUGGCGGACGGGUGAGGAAUACAGCGGAAUCUACUUUUUCGUGGGGGAUAACGUAGGGAAACUUACGCUAAUACCGCAUACGACCUACGGGUGAAAGCAGGGGAUCUUCGGACCUUGCGCGAUUGAAUGGGCCGAUGUCGGAUUAGCUAGUUGGCGGGGUAAAGGCCCACCAAGGCGACGAUCCGUAGCUGGUCUGAGAGGAUGAUCAGCCACACUGGAACUGAGACACGGUCCAGACUCCUACGGGAGGCAGCAGUGGGGAAUAUUGGACGAUGGGCGCAAGCCUGAUCCAGCCAUACCGCGUGGGUGAUGAAGGCCUUAGGGUUGUAAAGCCAUUUUGUUGGGAAAGAAAAGCAGCAGGUUAAUACCCCGCUGUUCUGACGGUACCCAAAGAAUAAGCACCGGCUAACUUCGUG
rnacentral:rRNA from 1 species